rnacentral:tRNA from 1 species
GGUCGUGGCUCAGAAGUAGAGCACUUGCCUAGCAUGUGAGAGGCACUGGGUUCAAUUCUCAGCACCA